rnacentral:rRNA from 1 species
UACGUAGGGUGCAAGCGUUGUCCGGAAUUAUUGGGCGUAAAGAGCUCGUAGGCGGUCUGUCGCGUCGGCUGUGAAAACUCGGGGCUCAACCCCGAGCCUGCAGUCGAUACGGGCAGACUAGAGUGCGGUAGGGGAGACUGGAAUUCCUGGUGUAGCGGUGGAAUGCGCAGAGUAAUCGAGAGGAACACCUGCGGCGAAGGCGGGUCUCUGGGCCGAUACUGACGCUGAGGAGCGAAAGCGUGGGGAGCGAACAGGA